GCGGACUGAGGUAGUAGGUUGUAUAGUAGUAGUAUUUUGGAAAAUCUUCUAUACAAUCUUCUAACUCGCUUUGC
rnacentral:pre_miRNA from 1 species